UAGGGAAUCUUCGGCAAUGGGGGGAACCCUGACCGAGCAACGCCGCGUGAGUGAAGAAGGUUUUCGGAUCGUAAAGCUCUGUUGUUAAGGAAGAACGAGUGUGAGAAUGGAAAGUUCAUGCUGUGACGGUACUUAACCAGAAAGGGACGGCUAACUACGUGCCAGCAGCCGCGGUAAUACGUAGGUCCCGAGCGUUGUCCGGAUUUAUUGGGCGUAAAGCGAGCGCAGGCGGUUAGAAAAGUCUGAAGUGAAAGGCAGUGGCUCAACCAUUGUAGGCUUUGGAAACUGUUUAACUUGAGUGCAGAAGGUGAGAGUGGAAUUCCAUGUGUAGCGGUGAAAUGCGUAGAUAUAUGGAGGAACACCGGUGGCGAAAGCGGCUCUCUGGUCUGUAACUGACGCUGAGGCUCGAAAGCGUGGGGAGCGAACAGG
rnacentral:rRNA from 2 species